rnacentral:rRNA from 1 species
GACGUAGGGCGCGAGCGUUGUCCGGAUUUAUUGGGCGUAAAGAGCUCGUAGGCGGCUUGUCGCGUCGACCGUGAAAACUCGCAGCUCAACUGCGAGCCUGCGGUCGAUACGGGCAGGCUAGAGUUCGGUAGGGGAGACUGGAAUUCCUGGUGUAGCGGUGAAAUGCGCAGAUAUCAGGAGGAACACCGAUGGCGAAGGCAGGUCUCUGGGCCGAUACUGACGCUGAAGCGCGAAAGCUAGGGGAGCGAACGGG